rnacentral:rRNA from 1 species
AUGCGCAUGGCAAAGAGCGGCCGACACCGAGGAGUGACGUCGCGCCAGCCAGCCGCGGUGGCGUCCCACGGAACUACGGAAGGUCCUGCACCGCACCAGCGAGGUGACCGCCUGAUGUACAGGCUCGGGACGAUGACGCUGAUGGGGUUCGGCAUGCAUUAUCGCUGUCAUCGGCUAUCUAGUGCUCUAUCAGAAUCCAGAAGGCAAGGCCCAACACUACGGCCACAGAGGUCGCCGACGUGGACAUCGGACACGGCAGCGACCCAGUGGAGGUCGCGAGGUGGCCGACUGCCGCACAGGGCUGCUGGGACGAUGGCGUUGAUGGGGUUCGGCAUCAUCGUCGUCAUCGGCUAUUUGGUGAUGUACAAGAAGGCGCGAGGCCCAGCCGCCAGCCCUAUGCCAUGGAGGUUGCCAAGGUCGCUGUCGGGCACGGCGACCCUGCCGUCGGCCUCCUAG